ACCUGGCUGGCUCAGUUGGUUAAGCGUCUGACUUCAGCUCAGGUCAUGAUCUCAUGGUUCGUGGGUUCAAGCCCCAUGUGGGGCU
rnacentral:tRNA from 1 species